UUUCCGGAAGGGUGGUAGAGACCCUGGGAACCAGACCAGGCGGGCUCACAAAGUAUGAAGAGAAUGUCGGGAGAGGAAGUGGUGGCUCUGAGUCAGCACGAGUCAUCUGGUUCCAGUGACAAUGAAGACUGAGGCAAGCUGCGCAUAUCUUGGGAUCUUCACAGCACAGUGGCUGGGAAGGCAGGCGGACCCGUCUAUCAGCUUCUCCCUGGUGGGAUUCUUGCGGGGGCAGGGAUCGAGUCAAACCUUGGAAAUGACGUCAUUCUGAACUCAUCUGCCUUUAUCCAGAAGACUACCAAAGCAAACCAGAGGACCAGAGAACAGCAGCUGCUCUGGACAAAGAGGGGAGGACACCCACACCCACAUACCAAGUUCUGGUUGACUUCUACAGCAGAAGAAGCAGGAGACACAAGAAGGUAGCCACUCCUAUUCGUGGGGAGGGACCAGGUUUCAUAUGGGCCUUUUCUUUGGUUGGAACAGGAGAUGUUCACGAUGGAAGAAAACAGAAUAAUUCAGUAAACACCUCGACCCACAUCCCCCAAAUAAAUGAUCACUUUUACAUGUUA
rnacentral:lncRNA from 1 species